rnacentral:rRNA from 1 species
GAGUUUGAUCUUGGCUCAGGACGAACGCUGGCGGCGUGCUUAACACAUGCAAGUCAAGGGGGCCCGCAAGGGUAACCGGCGAACGGGUGCGUAACACGUGAGCAAUCUGCCUAGAUGUGGGGGAUAGCCGGCCCAAACGGCCGGGUAAUACCGCAUACGCGUCACUGGGUGGCAUCACCUGGUGAGGAAACAUUCGGUGGCAUCUAGAGGAGCUCGCGGCCUAUCAGCUAGUUGGUGGGGUAACGGCCUACCAAGGCUUUGACGGGUAGCUGGUCUGAGAGGAUGGCCAGCCACAUUGGGACUGAGAUACGGCCCAGACUCCUACGGGAGGCAGCAGUGGGGGAAUAUUGCGCAAUGGCCGAAAGGCU